CCGGCCCCACCGAAACGUCACGCCGCGGGGCAUCCCGGGAAGUGGAGUGCCGCGGGGGCCGGCCGGGCCCGGAGGGCCGACACUCGGAACUACAAGUCCCGGCGGCCCGCGGGGUUCGGGGGGGGGGGGGGGCGGAGCCACCGAGAACUACAAGUCCCGGCGGCCCGCGGGGGCCGAGGACUACAACUCCCGGCGGCCCGCGGGGCCAGAAAGGGCGGAGCCCCAGAGAACUACAAGUCCCGGCGGCCCCCGGGGCCCGAGAACUACAAGUCCCAGCGGCCCCCGCCCCUGGCCUGUCCCGGCCUAGUGCGGGGAGCCCGGACCUGGGUUCUAAUCCCGCCACAAGUCACCGCGGGCGGGGAGUGCGUCUGUUCUGUCGUUGCCUUCUCCUCCCCCCCCCCAUCCCCCAAAGCUCCUUCGGUCGGAGUUGUCGUUGAUGACGAUGGCAUCCGAAGAGAACAUCCCAUCCUUGAAUCUAGCAGGACAAGUGCUGCUGAUCUCCAGAGGCUAAUGGCAUUGACCCUCACAGAGGAGACUGACAAACUAGCAAGCAACCUAAGUGGAGGAGAGAGGAUAAUUACAACACGCCGCUGGGAGCUGAGCACUAGCACUCGGUAUACGCCGGGUGUCGAUGGAUGGAUGGAUGGAUGGUCUUGCCCCAGUUCCCGCAGCAGGCCGGCGGCAGAGCCUGGACUCGGGCCAGGGUCCUCUGGCUUCCGGACCGGUAUCCCGCCAUCACGCCUCGCCACCCCGACCUCGUGCCGGGCAGCGCCUUCGCUCCAACUUUGA
rnacentral:lncRNA from 1 species